AGCGAUUCUCGGCCUUUUGGCUAAGAUCACGGUAGUAUCUGUUCUUACCAGUUUAAUUUACUUAGAGGAAAAUCAGGUGUUUCAUGUAGUUGAUUUUUUUUUUUAGCCUUAAAUUAUAUUUGUUUCAUAACAGCUUUCCUUCCUUGUGUUAGGAAGGUGAAGGAGAAGGGAA
rnacentral:snRNA from 1 species